ACUACGAAUGCGGUGAAAAAAAAUGAAAUUGUAGUGCGGGACAAACACUAUGGUGCAUCUAUGAAAGCAUUGUCAAUAUGUUUGUUUAAAUGAACGUUUGACUACUGUAUCUUUGGUAGCGUUAACGAAUGAUGUUUGCUGAUGCAGUGAUGCUUGCUGUGUUUCCAUAAUCAUGGAUAUGGUUGGAAAACACCAUUGCAAGUUAGGAGCCCCUUAAUCUACAAAUAAAG
rnacentral:lncRNA from 1 species